CCUGAUAUGGGAUAAUAGGGAAGUUGAGUGAGAGUCUCACACGGUCACGCCGCUGUAUGGGAGGAAUUGUAUUUUACAACGUCACUGGGAAACCGGGAAGACAAAAUACAGUGUUGAUACCUAAGUCAGAAGACCUGCCUUGUGCAUA
rnacentral:ncRNA from 1 species